rnacentral:lncRNA from 13 species
AUGGAAAGAAGAGCUCUGUUCCUUCCUGUGACAGUAAAAGAACUUCCUGGUGUGUGGAUUUGUUCCACGAUGGUCUGCCAGAGAAAUUUGUCUGUCUUUUCAAAACUGAGUGGUGCAAAAAAGAAGCCAUUACAGAUCCUGGUAACUGAAGCAGUGCAAACCCAUGGACUGUCCUUUGCUGCAUGUUUAGAGUGUGAACUUCCAGUCCAUCUGCCCAUUCAGUCACCUGCAAACCCACCAGGGACACAGCUGGUACAAACAAAAGCUAAGCAUGGGGCCUGAAAAAAAAUUUUGAGGAUGAAAAAUGGGUGCUGUACUUCAGAAAUUGGCAGCUUCUCCUGACCCAGACUACAGCAGGGAGCAAUGAGUAGUUUGGGCUUUUUCUCCCAACCAACCUUUUUAGCAGAAUUUGCUUUGCACAGUGACUAAGGCCCUUGUGCACUGACCACAGGUAAGCCUCAGAGUGGGCUGUCCAGCAGAUGCAGGUGUGAAGUCUGCGUUGGGUGACACACAGGACGUGUGACAGGCGGGGGAGGAGCGGAACGCUGUGUUCCUGUGCGCUCCUUGGCAGGACACACCUUAUCAGCACAGGCAUGUGUGUAGAGACCUUUGCCAGUAGAACACAGGAUGUGCUUGUCCUGUAUUACAGAUUACCUCGGUGUCGUGGUUGGAAGCAUAGAGC